AUUGAAAGCUGGCGGCAGGCUUAACACAUGCAAGUCGAGCGGGGUGAUGGUGCUUGCACUAUCACUUAGCGGCGGACGGGUGAGUAAUGCUUAGGAAUCUGCCUAUUAGUGGGGGACAACAUCUCGAAAGGGAUGCUAAUACCGCAUACGUCCUACGGGAGAAAGCAGGGGAUCACUUGUGACCUUGCGCUAAUAGAUGAGCCUAAGUCGUAUUAGCUAGUUGGUGAGGUAAAGGCCUACCAAGGCGACGAUCUGUAGCGGGUAUGAGAGGAUAAUCAGCCACGCUAGGACUGAGACACGGCCCAGACUCAUACGGGAGGCAGCAGUGGGGAAUAUGGGACAAUGGUGGGAACCCUGAUCCAGCCAUGCCGCGUGUGUGAAGAAGGCCUUAUGGUUGUAAAGCACUUUAAGCGAGGAGGAGGCUCUUUUGGUUAAUACCCAAGAUGAGUGGACGUUACUCGCAGAAUAAGCACCGGCUAACUCUGUGCCAGCCGCCGCAGUAA
rnacentral:rRNA from 1 species